GGUAACGUCAAGACCCAGAGCUAUUAACUCCAAGCUUUUCUUCCCUACUGAAAGUGCUUUACAACCCGCAGGCCUUCUUCACACACGCGGCAUUGCUGGAUCAGGCUUGCGCCCAUUGUCCAAUAUUCCC
rnacentral:rRNA from 1 species